UUUCAUGCAAAAUGACAAAACAACAGAAAAUUACUCUGUCAGAAGAGUAACUUGAACCACUUCUUCAGCCGUCCAGUUGUUGAUAGACCCCCCUGGUGCACACGGGCGAACCCAGUUGUCCAAAUCACAAUCGCUGUCACAGUCUUCACUACCGGUUGCAGAGACGUCGCCAUGAUUCAUCAGCCCAGCGCUGGUAAAGGUACUCGGACCCGCUUGACCAUUCUGCUCUGCUCGGAGAGGCUCAUAACCAACACCAAAUUUGUCUUCUUUAACCGGCAAAUCCACCAUCUUGCCCCAGCCUUCAGUUUUGCCAGAAUCAACAACCUCCUUAGC
rnacentral:lncRNA from 1 species